UCUUUCCCUUUCUUUUUUUUUUUUUUUCAGUCUGUGUCCAAGCUCUUCUUCCCAGCCCUCUUACUUUUUUCUUUCUUUUCUCUCUCCAUUCCUUCCCUUUCUUUUUUUCCUUUUCCUUUCCCUUCUUUCCCUCCCGAUUUUUCUCUCAGCCUCUCUCCUUUUCCUCUUUCCCCUCCCUCCAUACUUUUCCUUUUUUUCUUUCUGUAUUUCUAGAGAGGAGAAGCAGAAACUAAGGAUUUUUUUUUCAAGAGUAAAAAUGAUUAAUUAAUGUUGCACUCUACAAUGUAGCACAAGAGCACUUACCAAACAAAAUUGAUUAACUUUAAUACUAUAAUAAUGCAUUAGGAAAUCAGGAUGCUUUGUUUCCCUUUGCCUAAAAGUCCCUCACUUAAUUUUCUAUUAUUUUAGUUGAAUAAUAAAUCCCCCUUGUGAGCAACAUUUUACUGUUCCUACCCUCUUUUUUUCGUAGACUGUAUGUUGAAGAAGAUAGUCAUAUAUUACAAUCAAUUUCAUGAAUAUUUUACACUAGAAUAAUCACUCAUAACCAUGAAAUAAGAUUAUUUUGUUAUUCUUACAGAGAAGAAUAAGUUCUGGUAGAUUCUUAACAAUAUUUAAGUUGAGCAGAAUUAUAGGGCAUUUAUUUUUAGAGAUAUGUAAAUGCUAAAAAUGGAAAUGAGUCAUGAACAUUAAUGGUGUUUAUAAUAUUGGCUAGUAAGGACUAUAUCAAAAUCUUGAUUAUGUUCAUAAAGAUAUCAGAGGAGAAAGAAAACAGCCUUGUGUUUGAGUUUUAUGCUUAUGCUGAUCAGGAUUCUCAAUUAUGAUGUAGGUUAUGGAAUAACUUUACAUUUUCUCUUUUGUCUGUGUUCUUAUUAAUAGGUAUAGCGGUCCUUUUCCUGUUUCCCCUGUCAAAGUAACUUAUGGUCUCACUGUAAUGUAGCAAAUGGAACUAACUUGGAGGCAAGACAGUUUUCCUAAUAAAGUAUUAAGCAACACAACAUAACACCUUUUGCAAACUCAUCCAACUGUCAAGGAUCCUGUAAUGCAUCAAAAUGAGAAACACACGACAAUUGUCUUAUUAAUUAAGAAGAAUAAAACUGCGUUUGCUGAAACAUAAAAUACUUUUACAUCUUAAGGAAAACUCUCAGGCAGAAAUGAUAUUAAAUUUCAUUUAGAAAAUAAAUACCACACUAUAAAUUUAGUUGAUCUAAAAUGACUGCUACUUUAUUGAAUGCAGCCCAUAUGUUUGAAUGUUUGCCUCAUCAUCAAGGAAAUAACUGGUUUCAGGAGGGUGCUGCUGUUAAUAAGUCAAGGGGUGUUAUAUAAAUGUAGGGUUUCCAUCCCAGAGCAAAGUUGGGAAGACAAUUUCUUGAUUAUCUAUCAAAUUGAAUGCAAUAGUUUUGAUGAGCAUUGGCUUGAAAGUCUCUAUGACUUUGACAUGUAUCACAGGGGUUAGUGUUUCUCAAGCUGUUCUCUAUGUUGGUCACUCUUUGGAAAGCUCAUAUCCAAAUACCUUAGCAUGUUUGUGUUCUCAGGUUGCUGUGGGGUGAGAAUGCUGAACCCUAACCAUUUGAUGUAGAUCCUCACAACUUGUCCCUUGGGAGAAAGAAUUUGUCAGAGACUGAGGGUAGUUUAUUAAGUGAGAAGAGAGAGAAGAUAAGUGUGGAGAAAGUAAGAGUAGGUUGAGGGGGAAAGGCAGAGAGAGAGAGAGACAGAGAGAAAGCAAUAGAGGAAGAGAGCAACACAUGCUUUGGAAGCGGUUUAAAUCACUCACACGGGGGUGGUCCUUCUGGGCUUCCUCUGGCCAAACCUUGCUUUAUCUGGCCUUGAGUCCCUAUCUAGCCUGACCCAGGGUCCUCCCCUAUGUGUGCAUCUUUUAGCCAACAUGGAUUCUAGUGCAAGGGUUUCUGGGAAGAUGACAGGAUGUACUAUGGUCUGGGCCCCUCCCUUCUCUGACCCCUGAGGAAACUUUCUGUGCAUGUGUAUUCCUAGAGGCCUUCUUGACCUCAGGAAUGAGAAAUAGAUGGUCUCUAUCUUUUAUCCAAAGCAGCAUGCAGCUCCUCCUUGCUCCUGCCAUAAUCUUUUUAAAAAAAUUUUUUUAAUUUUUAAAAUUUUUUGUUAUUAUUGUUUUAAUAGUUAUUUUCCCAAUACAAUUUUUUUCAUACUGUACAGCAUGGUGACCCAGUUACACAUACAUGUACACAUUCUAUUUUUGCACGUUAUCAUGCUCCAUCAUAAGUGACUAGACACAGAUUCCAGCGCUACACAGCAAGAUCUCAUUGCCAAUCCAUUCCAAAGCAGUAGUUUGUAUCUAUUAACUCCAAGCUCCCCAACCACCCCACUCCCCACCCCUUCCCCUUGGCAACCACAAGUCUAUUCUGCAAGUCCAUGAUUUUCUUUUGUGCCUUAUGUUAGAUUCCAGAUAUAAGUGAAUCUCUUUCUGACUUACUUCACUCAGUAUGAGAGUCUCUAGUUCCAUCCAUGUUGCUGUAAAUUCCUGCCAUAAUCUUUAUCUUGAAGUUGUCUUCACAGGGAAUGGAUUCUAGUUGCUCAGCCUGGGACUGAUCUAUCUCCUGCCUCACUGGGACUGUCAGAACAAAAUACUAUAGACUGGGGAGAUUAAACAACAGAAAUUUAUUUUCUAACAAUACUGGGGGUUGGAAAGCCCAAGAUCAAGAUUUUUCUCUUCCUGGCUUGCUUUCUCUCUGUGUCCCAUGUGAGAGAGAGAAAGGAUUGAAAUAUAGGAUUAAGGAAAUAUCAAGUUAAUUAGGGACAUUGGGAUUGAAGAAACAAAAUAUGAGUUGGGUCUAGUAACUUCCAUGUUGAUAGUGGCUAUUCACAUCAUAUAAAAUAAAAUCCACUCUAAGAAUGAAGAUUUUUAUGAUCUAGUUUCUGUGGAUAGCUCUCAUUUUAUGCUGUUCACCACUUCUCACUCCAACCACUAGUUUUUUCUGUCUAUUCCUUGAAUCAACCAGACUUCUUCCUGCCUUAGAGCCUUUGCACAAUCUCUUCUUUCUUUGUGGAAUGUUCUUUACCCCAUUUUUGUUCAGCUCCUUCCUUGUCAUUCAGAGUUUAUCUCGUGUCACCUCCUCAUUGCCUCUGAAAAAAACAUUUUCUUCUUUUUUUUCCCCUUUCUUUCUUUCUGUUUUUGGCCCCCUGUGGCAUAUAGAUCCAAGCCACAGAUGUGACCUAUGACAAUGCAGGAUCCUUAAUCCACUGUGCCAGGCAGGGGAUUGAACCUGUGUCCCAUUGCUCCAGAGACGCCACCAAUCCUGUUGCACCACAGUGGGAACUCCUGAAAAGUAUUUUUGACCACUCUAUCUAGAUAGCAAAUUCCCACUCCCGCAACUUUCUGUCUCUUCCAUUGCUAGAUUCCAUUGCCAUUCCUCGCAGCAUUAAUAGUAUUUGAAAUUAUGGUGAUUUAUUUGUUUGUUAAUUUUUUCUGUCUUCUUCCUCCCCAUCUAUCUGUGCAUCUCUUAAAUAUAAGCUGUAGAGGGCAGUGUUCUUGUCUGUCCUGUCCCAAGACCCAGAAUGUACCUGACACAAAUUGGAUACUUCAUCUCCAUUUGUUGAUAAUAAUUUAAUAAAGAAAUUUUUAGAAUUACUUUUAAGAUACUAUUACUGAAUAUAAUAUAUAUUCAGAUAUAUUUUUGGAUGCCUCCCUUCUCUUGGAACACUCCCUCAGGUCUCUUUGUGUAGGUGAGGAAGCAGAGUACUCCCCCAAAAAAUAAAGUGCUGGAAAUAUAUUUGUAUUCCUUUAUCUCAAACCAUUUAUUGAAACCAAAGAGAGAGGCUUAAAACACACAAAUCCUAUUCUUUUUCAAAAACACAUACUCUAAUACCUUUGUGAAUGUGUUAUCUGAGAUUUCAGACUUAAAUGAAUAAUUUUUAGAUGUUUCCUAUUCUUAUUUUCCAGAUAUGAAAAUAUUUUGAGAAAGAAGGUCCACAUCCCUCAGCUUGAAAGUACAUUGUUGAUACCAAAAAUACUUGCAAAGCAGAGUAAUAGAUAAAAACUCUGCAGAACUAGAUUUUAUUUGACAGUCCUGAGACUUUUUUCAAUGACUGCACAAAAGCAUUAAAUAGAAAUGGCCUAGGGAUAGGCAUUGAAUCAGUAUGCACCAGUAAGUUUGUGAAAUCAAUUUUUUGCUCCUCAGAUACAGGAAAAAUGAUAUAACUGAUGCUGUGUAACUCCUAUUAAUUGCUCACAGUGACAGAAAAUUUAUCAAUUACUUAUUGACUACUUCGACUAUGGGAAAAUGGCAGUAGCUCCAAAGUGCAUAAUAUAGAAACCUCCCUAGCUGAGUGAAGUAUAACUAACAACAAAUCAAAUUUUUAAUAGUGUAUCUCUGUAUUUGGUUUUUCAUAUACAUGUCUUUCUCUCUCACUUAUGUCUUACCUCUGACAUUUGGUAUCUUAGAGAUAUCUCCCAGUUAAGGUUCAUGAUAGAAUACUUGUUAAUAACAGCAAUAAACAUUUUCUGGUAUUUACCAUGUGCUAAGCAUUGUGCCAAUCAAAAAAUCACAGGGAAUGGUACAAUUAUUAUCUUCAAAUAGUAUAAGAAAAAGAAACUCUUGGAAUGUGCUCUGCUGCAAGCAAUGGAAAACCUAUAAAACAGGAGUUUAAGCAAAAGAGAUUUAUUUUCUAGGUGCAAUGUCCAGGACCGGUGCAUUUGCUACAUGGUAUUACAAGAAAUCCCUUGACCUCCCUACUUUGCCAUCUGUGGUGUGUGAGGUGCUUCCUCUGCCUAGUAUGGCUGCUGCUCCUCCAGACAUUGUGUCUACAGUCUAGAUAAACUACAGAGGGGGAAGUGUGAAGAGCAAAGGACCAGAAUGGAAUACCAGCUGACUUUGCCCCUUUUUGAAAGCAUUCUUAGAAGCCCCACUAAGGACUUCUCAAUUAUCCAUGACUAGAACUAACCUGGGGGAAGCUGAGUAUUAACUGAGCACACUGAUACCCCAAAUUAAUUGGCAUUUAUGUUUAAGGACAAUGGGAAAAUAGAUAUUGAGUAGUCAACUUGCAGCAUCUGCUGCUGAAACAGAGACUGAUGAAGGUAAAAUAGCUUGCCAGGGUCACAAGGCAAAGAAAAGGAUGGCACACCUGGUCUUUGGACUCACUGCUCUGCAAAUCAAAGAGUAAGGAUUAGUGUAGUGUGUUUUCUUUGUGAGUUGAAAAUGAAGUUGCUUG
rnacentral:lncRNA from 1 species